CAGAAACCUGUCUGGCUGUCAUUCUUUGUUCCCCCUGACCCUUCCCUUCUAGGUUCUUUGGUGACUGCAGCACAUUGGGGUGUGAGCUUGCGUGAUUCCCUGAAUGAAGGUCAGGGCAUUUCUGGCGCCCAAACGUGGGGCUCCACCCUCUUAGGACGUGGACCCGUUGACUCUGCAGAGGAUCCUCGACCUUUUUCCUAAGCGACCACAGUCUUGCCCACGCAGAGGAGGUGAAAUUUGAUCGCAUCCUUCUGAGGACUUUUUCCCUUUAAGAAGGUUCUGCCUGUGUCCUACAUUCUGUAGAAAGAAGCUUUGAAAUCCAGCAUUCACCAAGAAGUCUACAAGAGAAGAUCACAUGGCAUCUCCAGAGCAGAGACCAGGAGGAAGAGGAACAGAAAAGGAUCUGAAUUCCUUCUUGUCCUUGUUUAUAUAUGAGCCUGCCUGCUAUGUCACUUCCUGCCUGGAUCACAAGACUUCUUUACUACAUUUCCCAGAAUCCUCCUUGACAUCUAGUCCUGCCUAACUUGCUGCCUCAUUGGCCAAACAGUACUUUAUUCAACAACCAGUAAGAAGAUAAACAUACACAGAAGGAGAAAGUAAAUUCAAUUCCCAAAAUCUAUAGAAAAGGAAGGAACCAAGUUCCACAGUUGUAACACUGGCACUUCAAGGACAAUAUUAAAUUGGUAUGGAGAAAGUGGGCAGCCUUGUUUUGUUCCUG
rnacentral:lncRNA from 1 species